GAUCUUGGAUCUUGGUUUUGUUUUCUCCUUUAUACAAGAUUCAGCAUUGCCUCUUACCCUGUCUCAGGUUUGUUAGCUACUUUGUUCAGUGAUAAAUUGAAAAUUUCUACCUUUGCUGAACAAUCAACUGAAUAUUAACUCUACUGCAUUGUAAACUUGACAGUUAUCUUUCUAAAGUAAGUCCUAAUUCUUUUUUCUUGUGCAGUUUGUAGGGAGGGGUAGAAGGGUUGAAG
rnacentral:lncRNA from 1 species